rnacentral:rRNA from 1 species
ACAUGCAAGCUCGAGCGAGAAAUUAAGAAGACGCGUUUUCGGACAAGCUCAUCUUAAUGGAAAGCGGCGGACGGGUGAGUAACGCGUAGGCAACCUGCCCUUAGCAGAGGGAUAGCCAUUGGAAACGAUGAUUAAAACCUCAUAAUGCUGUAGUAACACACGUUACAUCAGCCAAAGAUUUAUCGGCUAAGGAUGGGCCUGCGUCUGAUUAACUAGUUGGUGAGGUAACGGCUCACCAAGGUAACGAUCAGUAGCCGACCUGAGAGGGUGAUCGGCCACAUUGGAACUGAGACACGGUCCAAACUUCUACGGAAGGCAGCAGUAAGGAAUCUUGCACAAUGGGGGAAACCCUGAUGCAGCAACGCCGCGUGAACGAUGAAGGCCUUCGGGUUGUAAAGUUCUGAUCUUGGGGAAGAAGAAAGUGACGGUACCCAAGGAGAAAGCCCCGGCUAAAUACGUGCCAGCAGCCGCGGUAAUACGUAUGGGGCAAGCGUUAUCCGGAAUUAUUGGGCGUAAAGAGUGCGUAGGUGGUUACCUAAGCGCAAGGUUUAAUCUUGAGGCUCAACCUCAUUCUGCCUUGCGAACUGGGCUACUUGAGUGCUGGAGGGGAAAGCGGAAUUCCAGUGUAGCGGUGAAAUGCGUAGAUAUUGGGAAGAACACCGGUGGCGAAGGCGGCUUCUGGACAGUAACUGACACUGAGGCACGAAGC